rnacentral:rRNA from 1 species
UACGGGGGGGGGCAAGCGUUGUUCGGAAUUACUGGGCGUAAAGGGCUCGUAGGCGGCCAACUAAGUCAGAUGUGAAAUCCCCAGGCUUAACCUGGGAACUGCAUCUGAUACUGGAUGGCUUGAAUCCGGGAGAGGGAUGCAGAAUUCCAGGUGUAGCGGUGAAAUGCGUAGAUAUCAAGAGGAACACCAGUGGCGAAGGCGAGUCCCUGGACGAUACCUGACACUGAGGCACGAAAGCUAGGGGAGCAAACAGG